rnacentral:snoRNA from 1 species
UAGCCAUGGUGGGGGCAUUCAAGUUGGUAGCUCUUGAAUCUCUCCCAUGCAUUUCUGAAUGAUUCCCGUGGGUUUUGACGGAAUGUGGAGAUUUCCCCCCUUGCAU